rnacentral:ncRNA from 1 species
UGUCUUCGGGGGUGGGUGAGAUUCCCUACCGGCGGUUAUAGCCCGCGAGCUAGAUAGUCUAGCUGAUUUGGUGUAAGUCCAAAGCCGACAGUAAAGUCUGGAUGAGAGAAGAA